rnacentral:piRNA from 1 species
UUGGUGUUUGUCUUCUCUUUCC